GACGUUGCCAAGUCAUCUUUAAAAAAAAAAAAAAAAAAAAAAAGGAAGUGAAGAAUGAUUAAGAGGGUCACGCCCUCUGCCCCUCCAGGCUUUCGGCUCUCUAACUAGUUUCUCUCCUCCCUGUCUUCUGUGCCAUGCACCUGCCCAGUGGUAGUUUAAGAAAAAAAUUAUUCUUGGGAGCCCACCUAUUCUAGUAGGUCGGUGGUAGCUUCGGAAAACCAAAACUGAUAUUAGUUGGGGGACAUAGAAGUUACUCAGGGUAACUGGCUCCCACGGGUGUAUCUCCUAACAUGGCUAAUGAACUAUCCAUCUCGAUUGUUUCAUUGAAGAUUUUAUUUUAUUUUAUUUGUAAUAGGCCUGAAUUGCCAAUGAACCCAGCUUAGGUGAAAGUGGGUAGUACAAACCAGUAACAAGAGAGAUUAUAGAUCAGAAUCUUGUCUACCAUUUAUCUAGAAUUUGCUCUAUGCCAGUUCUGUGGUCAGCAUUUUACUUGUAUCGUGGCACCAGAAGCUUUCCGUGCGGCCUACGUUUGCUUAUCUGCAGUUGAAAGAUAGAUGUGGGAACACAGGCUUCCUUAAAUAACAGAGCUAAGUUCACAAGGUUGGAUGAACAAGGGGUAAAACUCUCCUGUAGCCUGGCUUCAAAAGCCUCUGCUUGGAAUCCCUUGUGUAAGAAAUCUCUGCGAGUAAUGCGGUGUAGCAGGAGAUCCUAGAAGGAAGGUUGUGGGUAUGCUCUUAACCCUCUGGGGAAUCUCAGGGAGAUUUCUGGAGUUUGUGGUUCCUAAAUUGACAUCUGAACGGGAGUUGGUUCAGAGCUUUAGAUACUGUUGUGGUGUAGCAAUUAAAAGAGACAGAGAAGGAGUGUGUUGGAGUAUGAAAGUAAGGGAUCAAAUUGGGCUCUUGCCCGUGGAUUCUGUUUUGAUAGUUACUUUCCACAUUCUACCUACAAACCCAUGCUUCCAGUCCAAGAUAAAUGCCACCAGUGGGCUGCAGAGGCUGUUUAAGGAUUUUUCUCUCUUGCCCACAACAACCUUUUGUCCUUCUCGAAGCAUCAGGAUAUUCGAUUGCACUUGCCAUUCUGACUUGCCACCUCUUUCUGUUUUUGAGUUCCUGCAUGAACUGGGCGCUGCUGUUCUCUUGAGACCUGACUCCUCUUCAGCGCUGCUGCUGGCCUUUCUUCCUGUUCACCAGACAGCCCCCUUCCACAGAGAAGGGUUAUCUAGAAUGUGAUUAGAAUCCGGUAUCUCCGAGUGACAGGAUGGAAGAGAACUACAAUGAUUCCUAUUUGGGCUGCUCACAGGCACUGCAUGGCACACAAGAUGCUUCAUGACUUGUGCCCUCUCCUGGCACUCAGAUGCCAAACCAUCACAUGCGGUCCUUUUCACCAGUAGGUCUAUUCCAUUUAUCCUUAAACUUAUGGUGUGGGCACCUAUUUAAUACUCAUGAAGCCAUUUCUCCAAAUGUUUCUUGAGGAUCAGUAAGAUGGCUCUGUGAAUGAAGGUGCUUGCUGCACGUGAAUUCGACAACCUAAAUUCAAUCCCUGUGACCUUCAUAGCAAUAGGAGAGAAUCAAAUCUCACAAACUGUCCUCUGACCUACACAUGUAUGGCAGUCAUAGCAUCCACAAACAUAAAUAAAAAGAAACCCGAGAUAUGGAGACACGAAGUAAUACACUGAAGGUUAUUGACUAAAAAGAGGGCUCUCUGUGUGAACUCAUGGCAUGUUCUUUCAGGCUAUACUCUGAAUUCCUACCUACACUUUCUCAAGGAAGAUACCAAAUCAGUUGAAGGAAUGAAAGAAGAAAAGCAAAAGAUAGCAAAUGAGGUUUGAAGCAACUAUAUAAAGACUGAGGGGAGGAGGGAGAGAGGAAGGAGGAGGGAAGAAAGAGAAUGAAAGAAAUAAACAAUUGUUCUGAGAAAGAUGAUGCUGACUUCUUUUUAAAAUCAGACAAGAGUGACAUGUAAACUGUGGGUAUUUGCAAGAGAGGAGGUAUUCUGGUGAAGAUGCUUGUCCUUACAGAAGCAGCAAGUACGGAAACCCAUCUCAUCAUAGUGAAUGGGAGACACCCACAGUAUCAAGUAAAAUAAACAUCAGUUACUACUCAAGUGGAUGAGAUCUUGGUGUUAUGUUGUAAAGUUGGAGAAAGUGCUUUUGCAAAUUGUAGCAACUACUAUAUUAACUUUUAAAUUUUGUAGUUGGUGAAUAAAUUAGUGAAUUAUGAUAUUUCUAAAAUAUGUGCAUGGGAAAAUAAUCUCUCCCUCCUUAAAAUAAUGC